rnacentral:rRNA from 1 species
UGGAUCCAGACUUUGAUUUGGCUCAGGAUGAACGCUAGCUACAGGCUUAACACAUGCAAGUCGAGGGGAAACGAUAGAGAAAGCUUGCUUUUUCUAGGCGUCGACCGGCGCACGGGUGAGUAACGCGUAUCCAACCUGCCCACCACUUGGGGAUAACCUUGCGAAAGUAAGACUAAUACCCAAUGAUAUCUCUAGAAGACAUCUGAAGGAGAUUAAAGAUUUAUCGGUGAUGGAUGGGGAUGCGUCUGAUUAGCUUGUUGGCGGGGUAACGGCCCACCAAGGCAACGAUCAGUAGGGGUUCUGAGAGGAAGGUCCCCCACAUUGGAACUGAGACACGGUCCAAACUCCUACGGGAGGCAGCAGUGAGGAAUAUUGGUCAAUGGACGAGAGUCUGAACCAGCCAAGUAGCGUGCAGGAUGACGGCCCUAUGGGUUGUAAACUGCUUUUAUAAGGGAAUAAAGUGAGUCUCGUGAGGCUUUUUGCAUGUACCUUAUGAAUAAGGACCGGCUAAUUCCGUGCCAGCAGCCGCGGUAAUACGGAAGGUCCGGGCGUUAUCCGGAUUUAUUGGGUUUAAAGGGAGCGUAGGCCGGAGAUUAAGCGUGUUGUGAAAUGUAGAUGCUCAACAUCUGCACUGCAGCGCGAACUGGUUUCCUUGAGUACGCACAAAGUGGGCGGAAUUCGUGGUGUAGCGGUGAAAUGCUUAGAUAUCACGAAGAACUCCGAUUGCGAAGGCAGCUCACUGGAGCGCAACUGACGCUGAAGCUCGAAAGUGCGGGUAUCGAACAGGAUUAGAUACCCUGGUAGUCCGCACGGUAAACGAUGGAUGCCCGCUGUUGGUCUGAAUAGGUCAAGCGGC